CCCGCUGAACUUAAGCAUAUCAAUAAGCGGAGGAAAAGAAACCAACAGGGAUUACCCUAGUAACGGCGAGUGAAGCGGUAACAGCUCAAAUUUGAAAUCUGACCUUCACGGGUUCGAGUUGUAAUUUGUAGAGGAUGUUUCGGAUAAGGCUUUGGUUUAAGUUUCUUGGAACAGAACGUCAUAGAGGGUGAGAGUCCCGUCUAGAACCGAUAGCCGCGUCCAUGUGAAACUCCUUCGACGAGUCGAGUUGUUUGGGAAUGCAGCUCAAAAUGGGUGGUAAAUUUCAUCUAAAGCUAAAUAUUGGCCAGAGACCGAUAGCGCACAAGUAGAGUGAUCGAAAGAUGAAAAGCACUUUGAAAAGAGAGUUAAACAGUAUGUGAAAUUGUUGAAAGGGAAGCGCUUGCAACCAGACUUGUGUUUAACGGUUCCCCCAGUCUUUUGACCGGGCUAUUCCGUUAUAUCCAGGCCAGCAUCGGUUCGAGUGGUUGGUUAAAGGCCUUGGGAAUGUAUCUACCUUCGGGUCGACUUAUAGCUUAGGGUGUAAUGCAGCCUACUUGGACCGAGGAACGCGCUUUUGCUCGGAUGCUGGCGUAAUGGUUGUAAGCGGCCCGUCUUGAAACACGG
rnacentral:rRNA from 1 species